UUUUAAGUUUUUUCUGGGAUUAUAAUAAGAUUUGUGUUAAUCGCUCACACUUUGUUUUUUGAGUCAGUGUUGCUGAUUGAUAGAACUUUUAGUUAGGAAAAAGUCACUUUAGACCUGUGGCUGUUACAUAAAGAGUUGUGCCAAGAGGGAGAGUUGCGAAACCAAGAGAUAGUUAUGUUGAAGACAAUGGAAGAACAAGUGUAUUUCCAAAGUUUCAGAAUGAACAGGAGGUAGAUGUGAAAAACAAACCGGCGCAGUUUCGCUGCCCAAGAAUCAUGAUUUAGUCAUGAGCUGCAUUGAUAUGGAGUUCUUUCCAGCAUGACUUCCUCUAUUUUAUCCUUUCGAGAAGGUCUCUGUGGAACCGAACCUUUCAAAGUAACUACAAGUAUACAUCCUUCAAAGAGUCCGAAUGCAAGUUCUGCAAAAGUUCAUUGUUGCAUUGCUUCAGCAGUAUACAAUUAGCUUUUCUCCUGAAAAUUUUAUUGGUGAAGGUACGCUUGGUUGUGUUUAUAGGGGUAAGCUACCCGAUUGAGAGGUAAGAUUCUUUUAACUUAAUAAGAACUAAUUUGUCAGGAUGAUGGCGUGGUUGUUUGAUUGUGUGGCUUCUACUUUAGAAUGCCUCAUGUACGUUUGUAUUUGUUUUCUUUUUUUCCCCCUUCAUCUUCUCUAUCCUCAUUAGGAGUAGGAGAGUAGUCGAGAAAGAGCCAUAGACAAAUAAGAAAAUGCUUUAGUGAAGUUUAGAAGAAUGCAAAAAUUGUCAAUAUCCUUAUGCUUCAAGAAAUUUAUGGAAAAGGAUUGUGAUAAAAAGCAUCAACCAUAUGUACAUGGCUUAGGAAAGGAGUAGGUAGCUGUAGAUUUCUCUAUGAGAUUUCACAAAUGUAACUUUGAUUUAGUGCCACCAUCUUUUAGUUUUUAAUGGGGUAGUACAGUGAUUUGUAUUGAUAAAACUCUACAAUUUUAACUUUUUCAAGAGUUUUGGUAUU